AGUGAACGCUGGCGGUAGGCCUAACACAUGCAAGUCGAACGGCAGCACAGUAAGAGCUUGCUCUUACGGGUGGCGAGUGGCGGACGGGUGAGGAAUACAUCGGAAUCUACUUUUUCGUGGGGGAUAACGUAGGGAAACUUACGCUAAUACCGCAUACGACCUACGGGUGAAAGCAGGGGAUCUUCGGACCUUGCGCGAUUGAAUGAGCCGAUGUCGGAUUAGCUAGUUGGCGGGGUAAAGGCCCACCAAGGCGACGAUCCGUAGCUGGUCUGAGAGGAUGAUCAGCCACACUGGAACUGAGACACGGUCCAGACUCCUACGGGAGGCCGCAGUGGGGAAUAUUGGACAAUGGGCGGAAGCCUGAUCCAGCCAUACCGCGUGGGUGAAGAAGGCCUUCGGGUUGUAAAGCCCUUUUGUUGGGAAAGAAAAGCAGCAGGUUAAUACCCCGCUGUUCUGACGGUACCCAAAGAAUAAGCACCGGCUAACUUCGUG
rnacentral:rRNA from 1 species